rnacentral:rRNA from 1 species
AUAAUUGUCAGCUAAGUGGCGCACGGGUGAGUAAUGUAUAGAUAACCUGCCCUUAAGAAAGGAAUAACAGUUGGAAACGACUGCUAAUGCCUUAUAUGCCUUUAAUACAUAAGUAUGCAAGGGAAACGCUUUAGUGCUUAAGGAUGGGUCUGUAUGGUAUCAGCUUGUUGGUGAGGUAAUGGCUCACCAAGGCUAUGACGCCUAACUGGUUUGAGAGGAUGAUCAGUCACACUGGAACUGAGACACGGUCCAGACUCCUACGGGAGGCAGCAGUGGGGAAUAUUGCACAAUGGACGAAAGUCUGAUGCAGCAACGCCGCGUGGAGGAUGACACAUUUAGGUGCGUAAACUCCUUUUAUAUUGGAAGAUAAUGACGGUACUAUAUGAAUAAGCACCGGCUAACUCCGUGCCAGCAGCCGCGGUAAUACGGAGGGUGCAAGCGUUACUCGGAAUCACUGGGCGUAAAGAGCGUGUAGGCGGGUAUAUAAGUCAGAAGUGAAAUCCAAUAGCUCAACUAUUGAACUGCUUUUGAAACUGUAUACCUAGAAUGUGGGAGAGGUAGAUGGAAUUUCUGGUGUAGGGGUAAAAUCCGUAGAGAUCAGAAGGAAUACCGAUUGCGAAGGCGAUCUACUGGAACAUUAUUGACGCUGAGACGCGAAAGCGUGGGGAGCAAACAGGAUUAGAUACCCUGGUAGUCCACGCCCUAAACGAUGUACACUAGUUGUUGUGAGGCUCGACCUUGCAGUAAUGCAGUUAACACAUUAAGUGUACCGCCUGGGGAGUACGGUCGCAAGAUUAAAA